AUGAAUGUUACCGUUGAGACUCCUUUGUUUUCCAGAACUUUACAUAUCAGAAUAUCAGAGUUCUUGUUUCACAGCGUUUGUGCAUUCAGAAGUUGUAACAUAGAACUUCUUCAUUUAGCAUUUUACACGGAUUUGCUUCUAAGUAUGUUGUGUCUGAAUAGAUCUUCAAAACGAAACUCUCUUAUCUUCUUACAUCAGAACUUCCAGGGAUGUAGAAUAAAACUAUGUUCUAGCAGAUCUUUUCUCAUCUUCUAUGCUUCUUACAUCAGAACUUCUCUGCAUAUUAAAAUACUUUAUUAG